UUUCCUACGGGGGGCAGCAGUGAGGAAUAUUGGUCAAUGGGCGAGAGCCUGAACCAGCCAACUCGCGUGAGGGGUGACUGCCCUAUGGGUUGUAAACCUCUUUUGUUUGGGGGGAAUAAGCUUUACGAGUAGAGUGAUGACAGUACCAUACGAAUAAGCAUCGGCUAACUCCGUGCCAGCAGCCGCGGAAAUACUGAGGAUGCGAGCGUUAUCCGGAUUUAUUGGGUUUAAAGGGUGCGUAGGCGGCAUUAUAAGUUAGUGGUAAA
rnacentral:rRNA from 1 species